UCUGACACUAAUCAAGAACAUUUCCUUUCAGUGUGAUGAUGUCGAUGUUGGACGAGAGUGCAUUAUCAAGGGAGUCUGCAUCUACAUGGGUGAAAAUCCAGAAAACCUUGUGCACGAUUACGCGGGCAUGGAUGGAGACGCCUUCAAUGCUGCUAUU